rnacentral:rRNA from 1 species
AGAGUUUGAUCCUGGCUCAGGAUGAACGCUAGCUACAGGCUUAACACAUGCAAGUCGAGGGGCAGCAUGUCGGUUGCUUGCAACCGACGAUGGCGACCGGCGCACGGGUGAGUAACGCGUAUCCAACCUACCCUUGUCCAUCGGAUAACCCGUCGAAAGGCGGCCUAACACGAUAUGCGGUUCUCAGCAGGCAUCUAACGAGAACGAAAUGUGAAGGAGAAGGAUGGGGAUGCGUCUGAUUAGCUUGUUGGCGGGGUAACGGCCCACCAAGGCGACGAUCAGUAGGGGUUCUGAGAGGAAGGUCCCCCACAUUGGAACUGAGACACGGUCCAAACUCCUACGGGAGGCAGCAGUGAGGAAUAUUGGUCAAUGGACGGGAGUCUGAACCAGCCAAGUAGCGUGCAGGACGACGGCCCUAUGGGUUGUAAACUGCUUUUAUAGGGGGAUAAAGUGUGCCACGUGUGGCAUAAUGCAGGUACCCUAUGAAUAAGGACCGGCUAAUUCCGUGCCAGCAGCCGCGGUAAUACGGAAGGUCCGGGCGUUAUCCGGAUUUAUUGGGUUUAAAGGGAGCGUAGGCCGUCUUAUAAGCGUGUUGUGAAAUGUCGGGGCUCAACUUGGGCAUUGCAGCGCGAACUGUGAGACUUGAGUGCGCAGGAAGUAGGCGGAAUUCGUCGUGUAGCGGUGAAAUGCUUAGAUAUGACGAAGAACUCCGAUUGCGAAGGCAGCCUACUGGGCACCAACUGACGCUGAGGCUCGAAAGUGUGGGUAGCAAACAGGAUUAGAUACCCUGGUAGUCCACACCGUAAACGAUGAUUACUAGGUGUUGGAGGAUUGACCCCUUCAGUGCCGCAGUUAACACAAUAAGUAAUCCACCUGGGGAGUACGACCGCAAGGUUGAAACUCAAAGGAAUUGACGGGGGCCCGCACAAGCAGUGGAGUAUGUGGUUUAAUUCGACGCAACGCGAAGAACCUUACCAAGUCUUGACAUCCCUUGACGAUGCUGGAAACAGUGUUUCUCUUCGGAGCAAGGAGACAGGUGGUGCAUGGUUGUCGUCAGCUCGUGUCGUGAGAUGUUGGGUUAAGUCCCGCAACGAGCGCAACCCUUAUGGUCAGUUACUACGCAAGAGGACUCUGGCCAGACUGCCGUUGACAAAACGGAGGAAGGUGGGGAUGACGUCAAAUCAUCAUGCCCUUUAUGACUUGGGCUACACACGUACUACAAUGGCGUUAAACAAAGAGAAGCAAGACCGCGAGGUGGAGCAAAACUCAGAAACAACGUCCCAGUUCGGACUGCAGGCUGCAACUCGCCUGCACGAAGUCGGAAUUGCUAGUAAUCGUGGAUCAGCAUGCCACGGUGGAUACGUUCCCGGGCCUUGUACACACCGCCCGUCACACCAUGAGAGCCGGGGGGACCCGAAGUCGGUAGUCUAACCGCAAGGAGGACGCCGCCGAAGGUAAAACUGGUGAUUGGGGUGAAGUCGUAACAAGGUA